rnacentral:lncRNA from 1 species
UUCCUCAUACCAACUCUCAUUUUUGAAAAUUUUUUGGUUGCCAAAUUGGUGUUUAGCAUUGACUCUAUUGGCGCCCUCCCUUUGACCAAAACCCUAAUCUCUUUUCUAUAUAAAGGGGGCUCCAAUAGUGGAUGCCCCAUAUAUUCUCCUUGCUGAUCUUAAUUUUUCUUCAAGGCUGUCUCUUUUCUCCUCUUCUUCCUCUAGAUCUUCUCUUCUUUUGGAGCAGUCUUGAAGAAGAAGAGAGAAAUCAGCC